GGAUAACCUACCCUUAGGACUGGGAUAACCUUGGGAAACUGAGGCUAAUACCGGAUAGGCAAUUUUUCCUGUAAUGGUUUUUUGUUUAAAUGUUUUUUCGCCUAAGGAUGGGUCUGCGGCCGAUUAGGUAGUUGGUUAGGUAAUGGCUUACCAAGCCGUUGAUCGGUACGGGUUGUGAGAGCAAGAGCCCGGAGAUGGAACCUGAGACAAGGUUCCAGGCCCUACGGGGUGCAGCAGGCGCGAAACCUCCGCAAUGUGAGAAAUCGCGACGGGGGGAUCCCAAGUGCCAUUCUUAACGGGAUGGCUUUUCAUUAGUGUAAAGAGCUUUUGGAAUAAGAGCUGGGCAAGACCGGUGCCAGCCGCCGCGGUAACACCGGCAGCUCUAGUGGUAGCAAUUUUUAUUGGGCCUAAAGCGUCCGUAGCCGGUUUAAUAAGUCUCUGGUGAAAUCCUGUAGCUUAACUGUGGGAAUUGCUGGAGAUACUAUUAGACUUGAGACCGGGAGAGGUUGGAGGUACUCCCAGGGUAGAGGUGAAAUUCUGUAAUCCUGGGAGGACCGCCUGUUGCGAAGGCGUCUAACUGGAACGGUUCUGACGGUGAGGGACGAAAGUUAGGGGCGCGAACCGGAUUAGAUACCCGGGUAGUCCUAACUGUAAACGAUGCGGACUUGGUGUUGGGGUGGCUUU
rnacentral:rRNA from 1 species